UGAGGAAGCACGAAAGCGCUUCGGUGUC
rnacentral:piRNA from 1 species